rnacentral:rRNA from 1 species
CUGCUGCCUUCCGUAGGAGUUUGGACCGUGUCUCAGUUCCAAUGUGGGGGACCUUCCUCUCAGAACCCCUAUCCAUCGUCGUCUUGGUGGGCCGUUACCCCGCCAACUAACUAAUGGAACGCAUCCCCAUCGAUAACCGAAAUUCUUUAAUAUCAAGAUCAUGCGACCUUGAUAUCCUAUCGGAUAUUAAUCUUUCUUUCGAAAGGCUAUCCCCGAGUUAUCGGCAGGUUGGAUACGUGUUACUCACCCGUGCGCCGGUCGCCAUUGG